GACUCUGUAAUACUCUCCUUUCUCAUCUUUACUUCUUAGUUUCACUGGUUUCCUCCAAGACUCAUCUUAGACCUCACCUUCGAAAGGAAGUCUUUUGUAGUUCCCCUCAGCCAGCAAACCCUUCAGCCUGAAGUUCUCAACUCUCUGGACUUUCAUCUAUCACCAGAUUCAAAUUUAUCUCUUAAUAUGCACAAGGUCCUGGAGACAAAAAGAAAUAACAGCCUUUUCACGAAGGAACCUGCAUUCUAAUGAAGGAUAUUACAUGUCACCAGUGAUAAGAUGUGAUGUGCUGGAAAGAAUGCUGAAUUUGGAAGAAGUCCUGUGUUCAAAUCUCAAGCUCUGCUAUAUAUUACUUGUGUUACUUUGGAAUGAAGACUGUGCAUUGGUUCCAGGGCAGAAGAAUAAUAAGAGGUAGGCAAUGGGGGUGGCCCAGGGUUACGAAAUUAGGAAGUGUCUGAGGUCACAUUUG
ensembl:lncRNA